rnacentral:rRNA from 1 species
GACGAACGCUGGCGGCGUGCUUAACACAUGCAAGUCGAGCGGAAAGGCCCUUUCGGGGGUACUCGAGCGGCGAACGGGUGAGUAACACGUGAGUAAUCUGCCCUGUGCUUUGGGAUAGCCACCGGAAACGGUGAUUAAUACCGGAUACGACCAACCUACGCAUGUGGUGUUGGUGGAAAGUUUUUCGGCGCAGGAUGUGCUCGCGGCCUAUCAGCUUGUUGGUGGGGUAAUGGCCUACCAAGGCUUCGACGGGUAGCCGGCCUGAGAGGGUGACCGGCCACACUGGGACUGAGACACGGCCCAGACUCCUACGGGAGGCAGCAGUGGGGAAUAUUGGACAAUGGGCGGAAGCCUGAUCCAGCAACGCCGCGUGAGGGAUGACGGCCUUCGGGUUGUAAACCUCUUUCAGCACCGACGAAGCGAGAGUGACGGUAGGUGCAGAAGAAGGACCGGCCAACUACGUGCCAGCCGCCGCCGUAAAAC